GGGACAACCCCCCGAAAGGCGGGCUAAACCCGCGUACAUGCCACCGGGGCAUCCCGGAGGCAGGAAAGGCUUCGGCCGGACAGGGAUGGGCAUGCGGCGCAUUAGGCAGUAGGCGGGGUAACGGCCCACCUAACCGACGAUGCGUAGGGGUUCUGAGAGGAAGGUCCCCCACACUGGUACUGAGACACGGACCAGACUCCUACGGGAGGCAGCAGUGAGGAAUAUUGGUCAAUGGUCGGGAGACUGAACCAGCCAAGCCGCGUGAGGGAGGAAGGUACAGAGUAUCGUAAACCUCUUUUGUCAGGGAACAAAGACUGGGACGCGUCCCCGGAUGAGUGUACCUGAAGAAAAAGCAUCGGCUAACUCCGUGCCAGCAGCCGCGGUAAUACGGAGGAUGCGAGCGUUAUCCGGAUUUAUUGGGUUUAAAGGGUGCGCAGGCGGUCUGUUAAGUCAGCGGUCAAAGCCCGGGGCUCAACCCCGGCCCGCCGUUGAAACUGGCAGUCUCGAGUUGGAGAGAAGUAUGCGGAAUGCGCGGUGUAGCGGUGAAAUGCAUAGAUAUCGCGCAGAACUCCGAUUGCGAAGGCAGCAUGCCGGCUCCACACUGACGCUGAGGCACGAAAGCGUGGGUAUCGAACAGGAUUAGAUACCCUGGUAGUCCACGCAGUAAAC
rnacentral:rRNA from 1 species